rnacentral:rRNA from 1 species
UUGACCUCGGAUCAGGUAGGAAGACCCGCUGAACUUAAGCA